UCCGUCGGAAUGAUUUUGCAGGUCUGUCCUCAUCCAGUCAUCUUCCAUCCACCUUUUUCCUUUCUUUUACUAUAUUUUAAUUAUUUUAAAAUUCCUUUGCUCUGAUCUCACAACCAACAUACCCUUGAAACCAAAUUGAAAAAUCAAAAAGUUGGAAUCUGCUAGCUGAUUAUGGUCUUCCCGCAUUUCCUUAAUCCGUUGUCCGUCUCAAUUCAGUAUCCAAUUGUCCAGUAUUAGGUUUCCAAUGGCAGCUACUGGUGGAGGUGGAGGUGGAGGAGUUGCUGCUGCUGCCGUGACAGUCCAUCACGAGGAGGAGAAGACCCCACAAGAAGAACUUUCUCUCCCGAUUCUUCUGGCGGACCGAGUUGUUAAAUCAGCUCAAGAGGCCGAGUCCAACAAGCAAGAAUGUGCCGAACUCGCCAAGCAGGUCGAUAAACUCUCUCAGAUGCUCCGCUCUGCCGUGCGCCUCUCCGCUGUCACUCAGUCCCUUUACGACCGUCCACUUCGUCGAAUUGCAAUCGAUGUUACUAAGAAUCUUGAACGCGCCCUGAAUCUGAUGCGCAAGUGCCGCCACAGCGGCGUACUCCGCCAGUUGUUUUCAAUUACCACCACUGCCGAUUUCCGAAAGGUAUCUAAUUUACUUGAAUCCUCAAUUGGUGACAUGCGUUGGCUGCUCUCUAUCUUCGAUUCUGACGGAGCUGACCUAUCUCUGCCUCCAAUUGCAAGCAACGACCCUAUCCUCGCCUGGGUCUGGUCCUAUAUCGCUACCCUCACUAUGGGGCAGCUAAAAGACCGUGUUGACGCAGCUAACGAGCUUGCCUCUCUUGCUCGCGUUAACGAGCGGAACAAGAAUAUCAUUGUUGAAGAAGGCGGGGUUUUUCCACUUUUGAAGUUGCUCAAAGAGGGGGCCUCUCCAGAGGCUCAAAUUGCUGCUGCGAAUGCGCUUUCUAAUAUCGCUACUGACAGUGAGAGAGUAAGAUUGAUCGUGGAUUUGCUUGGGGUGCCAACAAUUGUUGGGGUUCUUGGUGAUUCCCCAAUGAGAGUCCAGAUUGCGGCGGCAAAUUUGGUAGCGAGGAUGGCGGAAUUGGACCCUCUAGCACAGCAGGACUUUGUGCGAGAGAACGUGAUCAGGCCCCUAGUGUCGUUGCUAUCUGUGGAUUUGGUCUUGGAUACUACUAAGGUGGAGUCAGGUAAAACUAGUAUUCAUUCAAUUGUUCAAAUUAAUAAGCAGAUUGCCUCAAAACCUGGAAGCGAUAAUUAUAGUCAUCGAAAAGGUUCGAAUUUGUCGGCUCACUCUUCAUUUUCAGAUGGUAGUAGUAGGGGCAGUCAUUAUAGGAAAGAUAAAGAGAUUGAGCUACCUGAGGUGCAGCUUCAGGUCAAGGUCAGUUGUGCCAAGGCACUUUGGAAACUGUCCAAAGGUAAUGUAUCAAAUUGUAGGAAAAUUACAGAGACAAAAGGGCUGCUUUGUUUGGCUAAGACUAUUGAGAGUGAGAAAGGGGAAUUGCAGUUUAAUUGUUUGAUGACUGUUAUGGAGAUAACAGUAGUGGCUGAGCAAAAUGCUGAUGUUAGACGAGCGGCUUUUAAGACUAAUUUGCCUGCUGCGAAGGCAGUAUUGGAUCAGCUUUUAAGAGUAAUUAGGGAAGAAAAUAAUCCGACAUUACAAAUUCCUGCAAUUAAGGCAAUUGGGUGCUUGGCUCGAACAUUUCCUGCAAAAGAAACACGAGUACUUGGGCCUUUAGUUGCUCAGCUUGGGAACAAGGAUGUUGAUAUGGCCACUGAAGCUUCUAUCGCUUUGGGAAAAUUUGCAUGUCCAGAAAAUUUCAAUUGUACAGAGCAUACGAAGGCCAUUAUUGAGUUUGAUGGAGUUCCUCCUUUGAUGAGAUUGUUGCGUGCCAGUGAUCGAGCUCAAAUUCAUGGACUUGUUCUACUAUGUUACCUAGCAUUGAAUGCUGGGAACAGCAAAGCUCUUGAACAAGCACAGGCAUUGAAUGCCAUUGAAGGAUUGGCGCGUUCUGUGCUAGCUCUGCAUCCUGAUCUAAGGGAUCUGUUUGCCAAAGCAAUACACCACCUCACCCUUUAUCAGGCUGGUUUGCAUCUCCACAGACAGUCCUAUCCUCCAUAACUUCCCAGCGAUAGUUUUACUCAUCCAUGUGAGCUUGUUGUAACAUACAUUCAGCAGAACAAACACUACUGAGUAGGUAGAUACUUGAUGCUGUCUUACCUCCUAAAUUCUGCAUUCAGGUGGGUAUAUGAAGCUAAUGAAACCAUUCUGUUAAUGAUGCAAGCUUUUAUUUCACUCAAACCCGUCACAAUCUAGUUUCUAAAAUGGUAUUUUCUUGUGGCCAACUUCCUAUGUGAAGACUUUUGCAUUGGUAGCUUUCAAGCUUCAAGACGAUGUGUAUUCUUCUCUAGACUGUUGAAUCGACUAUCGAAAGAGACUUUAAUAUUUGUUUUCUUAGGAUUCUCAAUAACCAGAGAGACUACACAUUCUAGUACUGAAGAGGUGAGGUAUAUAUUUGGACGCUCUUGUCUAGCUCCACCUAAUUUCUGUUAAACAGUUGGUAAACAGGUUAUAUAAUUGAGUGAGUUAUCUUUGAAGAGAAGCUAUACAAGGAAAACUUUCAACUCAAGGAAA